GACGAACGCUGGCGGCGUGCCUAAUACAUGCAAGUCGAACGCAGUGGGGACGGGUGAGUAACACGUGGGUAACCUCCCAUCAGAGGGGAUAACACUUGGACACAGGUGAUAACCCGCUACUGAUGGAUGAACUCGAGGUGCAUUAGCCAGUUGGUGAGGUAACGGCUCAUCAAGGCCACGAUGCAUAGCCUACCUGAGAGGGGAAUAGGCCACACUGGGACUGAUGCACGGCCCAGAAUCCUACGGUAGGCAGCAGUAGGGAAGCGUCGACAAUGGACGAAAGUCUGACCGAGCACCGCCGCGUGAGUGAAGAAGGUUUGCGGAUCGUAAAGCUCUGUUGUUAGAGAAGCGGUAGCUAACCAGAAAGCCACGGCUAACUACGUGCCAGCAGCCGCGGUAAUAC
rnacentral:rRNA from 1 species